rnacentral:lncRNA from 1 species
GACUGUUUAGCUACUUGUCAAAUCACUUGGGUCAGAAUAUCCAUACUAUGAUCUACCAUCACCAGAGUUAUGCCAGCAAAGCUGUUACCAACUGCUAACUGCAUCACACACUAACUAAUUUGAAAGACCUGAGAAAUUACACAAAUGCCCCCUGAGGUGGUCUGCUGGAGGCUUUUCACAUUCCAUGUCACACUGUUGCAAAUAGAGCUAGUAGCCACUAGAGGGAAGGAGACUGCUGGCUUUCCCAAGUGUUUCACCGUGGAGCAUGAAGGUGAAGAAGCUGUCACAGGACUGGUUGCCCAAGGAAAAUCUUUAAAAUAUGGUGGUAUGAAGGCACAACCAUCCAUUUAGGCAAUAUAUGGUGGCAUUCCCAUGAAGCCUAAAAGGAACAAGAUCCAGGGCAGGAAG